CGAUAUUGUUAAAACCCACACUCAAACGCCUCUUGGCAAACGCAUUGUAACUCAUUGAGGCGAGGGGUUUUUUUUUUGUACUUAAAUUCAGCGUUGGUUCAAAUAAACGCAUCUCCGCUCUAGAGAGCGAUUGCCCUUUUAAGAUUUCAUGGUGGCGGCUGCGGGUUCCUGGUACUGCAGGGAGGCGAGAGGCGAGACAUACGCUGCAGCUGUGCGCGUUAGCUCGUCCGCACAGGAAACCAGUGGUCAGAGCUUUUCCAAGGCGCCGCCGACUGAAUGGGGCGGCUGGUCACCUCUUGUGGCGCAUUCCUUAUCGCUAAAUCGGCAGUAAACUCUCCCUCCCACACACACAAAGAUAAGUCAGACCAGACCCGGGGGGUGCAGAGAAAGAAAAGACCUUUGUUUGUGAAAGAGACUUAGAAACGUCCUUAUGUUACUUUCCCAUUUUUUUUAACCUGCUCCUAUGAGGUUAGGUGUUCUCACUGACACACUUGUGUGGUGGGGAAAACAGAGAGAGAGAGAAAAAAUUUCAUGAACAACCCCGAUUUAUGAAUCUUGUGUCUCAACAGGACUUCUGUACAAACUCAAUUUAACAGAAACUAGAAAAAAAAAACCCUGCAAUCCAUUUCGUCGCUUCGAAUCGACUUUCUGGGCGGACAGAAUGGACAUUGCAGUCCCUUGAUGUUUUGGAAUCAAA